GAUGAACGCUGGCGGCGUGCCUAAUACAUGCAAGUCGAGCGAACAGACGAGGAGCUUGCUCCUCUGACGUUAGCGGCGGACGGGUGAGUAACACGUGGAUAACCUACCUAUAAGACUGGGAUAACUUCGGGAAACCGGAGCUAAUACCGGAUAAUAUAUUGAACCGCAUGGUUCAAUAGUGAAAGACGGUUUUGCUGUCACUUAUAGAUGGAUCCGCGCCGCAUUAGCUAGUUGGUAAGGUAACGGCUUACCAAGGCAACGAUGCGUAGCCGACCUGAGAGAGUGAGCGGAGACAGUGGAACUGAGCCACGGUCCAGAGUCCUACGGGGGGCAGCAGUAGGGAAUGUUCCGCAAUGGGCGAAAGCUUGACGGAGCAAAGCCGGGUGAGUGAUGAAGGUUUUGGGAUCGUAAAACUCUGGUAUGAGGGAAGAACAAAUGUGUAGGUAACUAUGCACGUCUUGACGGUAACUAAUAAGAAAGCCACGGCUAACUACGUG
rnacentral:rRNA from 1 species